rnacentral:lncRNA from 1 species
GUCAUUUGAAGAGAUGGAUGCCUGUGACCCCGCCAGGCUCUGCAGACCUGGAGGCGGCUCCAGAUCUGGGGUGUGCGGCGCAUUGUGUGUCCAACAGGGAGCAUAACUUUCGCAUCUCAGUCCUUCUCCAUUUCCUGAGGCUUCUUCAGGCUCUGGUGUGUGGUCCACCCUGGAGAAUGUCUCGCUCUCCUCUCGAGAGGAACGUGGCUGCGGCUCUGCGUGGACCGUUUGGCAGAGGCUCAUAUGCUGGAUCCACUGGUUGGUUCACGGGGUUCAUUCCUGUCUGUUGAUCUUCUACCUAGUGGCUCCAUCACUCAUUCAAGCCACCCGAUGUCCCUUUUGAUUAUUGUUUACACGGUUCGUCUUUUUCCACCUUUCCCCGUUGGACUCUGACGCGUCUCUGCUGUGGGAAGCGCAUCGCCGCCCCGGCGUCUCUCUCCGCUGCGGGGAGCCCAUCGCGGCCCCGGCGUCUCUCUCCGCUGCGGGGAGCGCAUCGCGGCCCCGGCGUCUCUCUCCGCUGCGGGGAGCCCAUCGCCGCCCCGGCGUCUCUCUCCGCUGCGGGGAGCCCAUCGCCGCCCCGGCGUCUCUCUCCGCUGCGGGGAGCCCAUCGCGGCCCCGGCGUCUCUCUCCGCUGCGGGGAGCCCAUCGCGGCCCCGGCGUCUCUCUCCGCUGCGGGGAGCCCAUCGCGGCCCCGGCGUCUCUCUCCGCUGCGGGGAGCCCAUCGCCGCCCCGGCGUCUCUCUCCGCUGCGGGGAGCCCAUCGCCGCCCCGGCGUCUCUCUCCGCUGCGGGGAGCCCAUCGCCGCCCCGGCGUCUCUCUCCGCUGCGGGGAGCCCAUCGCCGCCCCGGCGUCUCUCUCCGCUGCGGGGAGCCCAUCGCGGCCCCGGCGUCUCUCUCCGCUGCGGGGAGCCCAUCGCCGCCCCGGCGUCUCUCUCCGCUGCGGGGAGCCCAUCGCCGCCCCGGCGUCUGUCUCCGCUGCGGGGAGCCCAUCGCCGCCCCGGCGUCUGUCUCCGCUGCGGGGAGCCCAUCGCCGCCCCGGCGUCUGUCUCCGCUGCGGGGAGCCCAUCGCCGCCCCGGCGUCUGUCUCCGCUGCGGGGAGCCCAUCGCCGCCCCGGCGUCUGUCUCCGCUGCGGGGAGCCCAUCGCCGCCCCGGCGUCUGUCUCCGCUGCGGGGAGCCCAUCGCCGCCCCGGCGUCUGUCUCCGCUGCGGGGAGCCCAUCGCCGCCCCGGCGUCUGUCUCCGCUGCGGGGAGCCCAUCGCCGCCCCGGCGUCUGUCUCCGCUGCGGGGAGCCCAUCGCGGCUCUGGCGUCUCUCUCCGCUGCGGGGAGCCCAUCGCCGCCCCGGCGUCUCUCUCCGCUGCGGGGAGCCCAUCGCGGCUCUGGCGUCUCUCUCCGCUGCGGGGAGCCCAUCGCCGCCCCGGCGUCUCUCUCCGCUGUGGGAAGCGCAUCGCCGCCCCGGCAUCUCUCUCCGCUGCGGGAAGCCCAUCUCUGGGCUGCGCUGCUUCCUGUUCUGCCGCCCUUUGCUUUCUGGCCGCGAUUCCACUGAAUGUGAUCACUGAAAAGGUGGGAUUUGCGUCCACUGUUUUACCAGUUGUUUUCUCUAUGGCUUGUAUCUGUUUUGUUUCUUUACUCUUCUUUUACUGCCUACUUUUAUGUUAAACAGAUAUUUCAUUUAUACAAUUUUAAUUAUUUUGAUGUUUCUUUUACUCCUUUUUAAUUUACUUGCUCAGUGGUUGUUCUGGAGAAUGUAAUUAAAAUCGUAUCUUAAAGCAAACUACUGCAAAUUAAUACCAAAU